UAUGAUUGACCGAAUAAUUGA
rnacentral:piRNA from 1 species